GUCUCAGGCCGGAUCAGCCUGAAGGCGCCCGAUCUUCGUCUGAUCUCGGAAGUCUAAGCAGGGUCGGGCCUGGUUAGUAUCUUUGGAUGGGAGACCACCUGGGAAUCCCGGGUGCUCGAGGCU
rnacentral:rRNA from 1 species